ensembl:snRNA U4 U4 spliceosomal RNA
AGUUUUGUGCAGUGGCAAUAUCAUAGCCAAUGAGGUUUAGCCAAUGCACACUUAUUGCUAAUUGAAAACUUUCCCAAUACCCUGCCAUUAUGACUUGAAAUAUAGUCGGCAUUGGCAAUUUUGGAUGGUCUCUACAGAGA